ensembl:lncRNA
ACGCGCUAUACGGGCUGGGCGGUAGUAGAAGGGAAGACGGGCGAGGUCUUGGCUGAGGGGUCGCUUCGGGGAGGAAGUGCUCAGAUAGCUGAAUUGCAUGCUUUGAAAGCUGCCUUAAAUCUGGCUCUUAAACUAACUGCAGGUGAAAAUAGCUCCACUAAUAUAAAUAUUUUUACUGAUAGUGCAUACAGAUACCAUGUAUUGCAGAGUUAUGUCCCUGUUUGGAAACAUCGUGGUUAUUUGACCACAGCGGGUACUCCAAUAAGUCAUCAAACCAUGAUUGAAGAAAUUCUUGACACGUGUGAGAAAAUUCCACCAAACAGUGUCACGGUGUGUAAAGUCACAGUACUUUCAAUGAUUGGUUGGCGAAAGGAAACUCUCUAGCUGAUAAGGCUGCGAGAGAAGCUGCAAAGGGUGUGGCACUUGAGGAAGUAGUUGUUAUUUUCCCUGUUCAUCCUGAUUGCAUGGGUUCCGAAACUUUAUCUAAAUUGUACACAACUGAGGAUCGUGAAAUGUGUCAAAAAUUAGGAGCUACCUUAACUGAAGAAGGGGUUUAUGCUCUGAAUGACAAAGUCAUUCCGCCUAGCGGAUAUCAAACCAAACUGAACUAAUUGAUCUGUACCAGAGCAUUGCACACCAAGGGGUUCAGAAAACAUAUGCUAUGUUACAACAAACAUGGUUUUGGUCAGAGAUGUUACAAACUGUGAAGGAUAGACUGUCCAGAUGUAUCCACUGUUUGCAAAACGAAGCCAUAAUUUGGAAAAGGUAAAAUCCCAAUUGGUCACAGUCCUCGCCGGUGAGGACCAUUCACACAUUUACAAUUGGAUGUUAUUUGGUUACCUUCUGAUUAUGGGUACAAAUAUGUACUAGUUUUUGUCUGUAAAUUUUCCAGAUGCUCUGAAAGGGUAUAUUGGAUUUUCAGUCCCUCUCAUUGCACCAUGGUUCGGGAAUGAUAGAUUUUCAUAAAAUAGGGGUAACUUUACUGGGAUUUAGGUUUAUAAGCAAUGUCUGUAUUUGGUAACUGUGAGGUGACUGAGGGUCUGACCUAUGUCAGGAAUGCAAUAACAGUGAUUAUUCAUUUAGCCCGGCUUCCAGAGAAUAAUACAUAUAUAUGUUUAUGGCAAUAAAUUUAUUUUACGAUAUAACAAAUUAAUCAAAAUUCAUCAUAGUUGUAUAAGACAUAUAAAAAGAAUUCAAAUAAGUCAAAUUUCUUUCUAAAAAGGUCUUUGGGUUUAACUGUACAUUCCCCUACAGCUCCAUUAUUGCUCGUAGGUCCCUCGGGUCCAUUGAAGGACACUUUACAGGAGUAUCUUAAAGUACUCACGUGCGCAUUAAGAAUGCCCAUUUCAGUGCCCUCAGUGCUCAACAUGCUGGAGAUCUUAAAAACGCUAUAUUCAAUGUAAAGGUUAAAAAUCACGUACAAGUGGGGGACAAAGUGAUGAUACAGAAAAUAGGGAACUUAUGUUAGGACCAAUGUCCUCCAGGUAUGAGGGUCCUUCUUCGGUGUUGUUGACUACUCCAACAUCUCUUCUUGUUGAAAUCGAGCCAGGGCUGACUCGAUGGAUGCAUCUUGCACAAGUGAAGCCUCUGUCGCCGCUUGCCGAUACUAACUCUCUCUCUAAUGUGAUUUAGUCCAACAGGUGCAGUACUUUAUAUCCAAGGAAUGGCUUCUAAGGAAGAACAAUGACUAAUUGUUUCCUCUCUUUAGGUUCUCAACUAUGAUUCCAUCCGGACCUGUUGUGUUAAUAUAUAUAUAUAUAAAAAAAGAGAAACUGAAAACCAUGGUGUUUGUGUUUAUGUGUAUUGGUGUUGUCCUGUUUGGUUGUCUAUGUGUCGUUGUGUGUGUUGUGUUUUUAUCCAAAAAUUUCUGCUCCUACUAUUCUAUAUCUCUAAAAGGUACGAGUGCAUGCUGUCACAGAAAUAUUCUGCGUAUAUUUACCACACACGACUGGUUCUAAGGGUGACCCUUUGAUGUGACUUCUGCAACAGUGCAGCUCAUUGACAUUCUGGGAGUGGUUGCUGUGCUCGUGGCUGGACAUCAGUGUUUCAUUGCAUCAUCAUAACAUCACUUGUUUACUAACUCUACGCCAUCUGAGAGACCUGUGCUAAGUCUACCGACAUAUAUAUAUAUACAUUUGUGAAGGGUAAGGAAAGUUUGGAAAUUAACGACAUGGUACCAUAAGGACAAAUAUCUUCAACUACUACCUCCCAAGGGCAAGAAGAGAAAGAACGAUGAUAGAGUUUAGAGUUGGGAAAGAUGGAAGGCUGUGGUAAGUCCUCAACCCAGCAAAAGUCCAGGGGACGCCAGGGGUCGAAUUUCCUUAGGAGUUCUCGUCUGGCCAUCUUGGUGAAGAUCUUUGUUAAUUUUAAGGUAGCUGGGGUUAGAGAGGUAUCUACAGUACUAUCUAUCUGAAAUUUUGCUAUUGAUUUUCUAUAUUUUCAUGUAUGCAUCAUGUAUUUUUCUUUUGAAUUACUCUGUAUUUCUGUAUUUUUGGUUUUGAUUUAAGGAAAAGGUUGUGGCGAGUCUUUUGAUAAGACUCGAGUGGGGGAUUGGUGUGUGGAGAUUCUAAGAAAUCCACAUGGUGAUAGAGAUUCUGAGAAGAAGUCCACGUAUUUAAAUUAAACCCAAGUGUUGCUGAGAGAUUCUGAGAAGUCACGUACUCAAAAUGUGUUCUAUUCAUAAUAAGUUUCAUUUCAAAAGUUAAAAAUUAAUAUUUCAUGGUAAGGAUCUGUCUCAUAUAUAUAUAUAUUAACAGGUUUCAUUUUUAUAUUCAAAAAUGUUUUAGGUAAACUUUAUGGUAUAUUUCAUAUGUAAUUUCACAGUAUUUCUAACUGCGUAGUCAGCUGAGUCUGUUUUGCAUAUGAAGUUGAAACAAACUGGAACAACAGUUCCCUUUCAGUCGGUCACUCUCGACGCCACGUCGGUGACCGACGAAAAUGGGAUAUCGCUUCGAUAGACCAAUCUACUUCGAGUGU